ACUAAAAAUCCGAUGUUCACUUCGUGGCACUUUGUUAGCAGAAAACAGGCUCAUCUCUUAGCAACAGAUUAACAACAAAUAUUGUUAUUGUUCAAAAAAUGAGAUUUCCUCUGCUCUUUUGAAAUACUACUUGUACUACUAGAAUUGUGCAGUUAGUGAAUUUUGCAGAAAGAGUAAAAAUGUUUACUUCGUCAUUGGUGUUGCAAACAGAUGCGUGACUAUACAAUCAUACAUCUUUGAAAAGCAGUAGUAGAACCUCCUGCACAACCAGCAAGAAUGCAGCAAGAGGUUUCUGGAUGCGGAGCAUCUGAGAAAAGACACAAAGGGAUGGAUGUGUGUUGUGGGACUCACGUCUCUGAGCUUUCAGCUUCCAGUACAGAUUGCACAGGCAGGUUGUCUGCCGCCGUCCAGGGAAGCGAGUGGAGGAGGGGGUGAAAAGUGGAGGUUGAAGCACAGGGCAUGGAUGAUUGAAAGACAAAUUGCACUGCUUUAGAGUUGCCAUCUCCAGAGACCACCUCAUGCAAAAUUUAUCCACUUUUUUCCUCCAAUACUAAUGUUUCUUUCUAUCCACUGUCUCUACAUUAUUGCUCUGUUUAAAAUCUUCAGUUUUUCAUUAUAUCUGUCAGAGUAAUUUUUAUAUGCUUUCCGGCUGCAAGGACCAUACCUGCAAUAUAAAAGCAUCUUUUGCAGAAAAUAAAGAUA